GAUGAACGCGGGCGGCGUGCCUAAUACAUGCAAGUCGAGCGAACGGACGAGAAGCUCGCUUCUCUGAUGUUAGCGGCGGACGGGUGAGUAACACGUGGAUAACCUACCUAUAAGACUGGGAGAACUUCGGGAAACCGGAGCUAAUACCGGAUAAUAUUUUGAACCGCAGGGUUCAAAAGUGAAAGACGGUCUUGCUGUCACUUCUAGAUGGAUCCGCGCUGCAUUAGCUAGUUGGUAAGGUAACGGCUUACCAAGGCAACGAUGCAUAGCCGACCUGAGAGGGUGAUCGGCCACUCUGGAACUCAGCCGCGGUCCAGCCUCCCACGGGCGGCCGCAGUAGCGAAUCUUCCGCCAUGGGCGAAAGCCUGACGGUGCACCGCCCCGUGAGUGAUGAUGGUCUUCGGAUCGUAGAACUCUGUUAUUCGGGAAGUACAUAUGUGUACGUAACUGUGCACAGCUUGACGGUACCUACUCAGCAAGCGACGGCUAGCUCCGUG
rnacentral:rRNA from 1 species